AAAUGAUUUAAAAAUUUAAUCCUUUAAUUCUUUACCUCUGCGUAAAUUAUGGAUAGAAAUUUUGCGAAAAACAUUUGAGAAUCAUUUCUCGUUGUAAAAUUACAACCACCCUCUCGUUGGAGAUUCUCAACUCGUUCAUAUCCAUGUCCACCGCAUGCUUCUCGACAAUCUUGAAUUCCAUCACGUGAUGUCCAGGUGCAAAGAGGCUUCGCAGCUGAUGAUAGAGCAUGAAUUUCCAUUCCCAAAGAAUUCAGUGCAUCACGAUCGCAAUCUCCAAUUAUUUGCGAUGUAAAAUCUUCGCUUAUUUUCAAUAACCAAGAGGAGAAUAUCGUGAAAGCGUAAACAGAGGCUAAAUGAGGUUUAUAAAAAUAUUAGCUGGUAUUUUUAUAAUUUUGAUCGACUUAUUUCCCGCCACCAUGAGGGACGUUCGAGAUUUUCCGGAUUUUCCAUGAAGGCUUUCUCCAAAUGUUUGUAAAUCUAAACAAAAACGAAU